rnacentral:rRNA from 1 species
GACGAACGCUGGCGCCGUCCUUAACACAUGCAAGUCGAACGGUAAGGCCCUUCGGGGUACACGAGUGGCGAACGGGUGAGUAACACGUGGGUGAUCUGCCCUGCACUUCGGGAUAAGCCUGGGAAACUGGGUCUAAUACCGGAUAGGACCACUGCCUGCAUGGGUGGUGGUGGAAAGCUUUUGCGGUGUGGGAUGGGCCCGCGGCCUAUCAGCUUGUUGGUGGGGUGAUGGCCUACCAAGGCGACGACGGGUAGCCGGCCUGAGAGGGUGACCGGCAACACUGGGACGGAGAUACGGCCCAGACUCCUACGGGAGGCAGCAUGGGGGAAUAUUGCACAAUGGGCGCAAGCCUGAUGCAGCGACGCCGCGUGAGGGAUGACGGCCUUCGGGUUGUAAACCUCUUUCAGCACCGACGAAGCGCAAGUGACGGUAGGUGCAGAAGAAGGACCGGCCAACUACGUGCCAGCAGCCGCAGUAA